UACAGAGGUGGCGAGCGUUAUUCGGAAUUAUUGGGCGUAAAGGGCGCGUAGGCGGCUAGACAAGUCUCGGGUGAAAUCCCUCGGCUCAACCGAGGAACUGCCCUGGAAACUGUCUGGCUUGAGGCCGGGAGAGGGUAGUGGAAUUCCCAGUGUAGCGGUGAAAUGCGUAGAUACUGGGAGGAACACCGGUGGCGAAGGCAGCCCCCUGGGUCAAGAUUGACGCUCAUGCACGAAAGCGUGGGGAGCAAACAGG
rnacentral:rRNA from 1 species